GUGCACGCUGGCGGUAGGCCUAACACAUGCAAGUCGAACGGCAGCACAGUAAGAGCUUGCUCUUACGGGUGGCGAGUGGCGGACGGGUGAGGAAUACAUCGGAAUCUACUUUUUCGUGGGGGAUAACGUAGGGAAACUUACGCUAAUACCGCAUACGACCUACGGGUGAAAGCAGGGGAUCUUCGGACCUUGCGCGAUUGAAUGAGCCGAUGUCGGAUUAGCUAGUUGGCGGGGUAAAGGCCCACCAAGGCGACGAUCCGUAGCUGGUCUGAGAGGAUGAUCAGCCACACUGGAACUGAGACACGGUCCAGACUCCUACGGGAGGCAGCAGUGGGGAAUAUUGGACAAUGGGCGCAAGCCUGAUCCAGCCAUACCGCGUGGGUGAAGAAGGCCUUCGGGUUGUAAAGCCCUUUUGUUGGGAAAGAAAAGCAGCAGGUUAAUACCCCGCUGUUCUGACGGUACCCAAAGAAUAAGCACCGGCUAACCUCGUG
rnacentral:rRNA from 1 species